rnacentral:rRNA from 1 species
AUUGAACGCUGGCGGCAUGCUUUACACAUGCAAGUCGAACGGCAGCACGGGCUUCGGCCUGGUGGCGAGUGGCGAACGGGUGAGUAAUGCAUCGGAACGUACCGUGUAAUGGGGGGAUAACGUAGCGAAAGUUACGCUAAUACCGCAUACGCCCUGAGGGGGAAAGUGGGGGACCGCAAGGCCUCACGUUAUACGAGCGGCCGAUGUCGGAUUAGCUAGUUGGUGGGGUAAAGGCCUACCAAGGCGACGAUCCGUAGCGGGUCUGAGAGGAUGAUCCGCCACACUGGGACUGAGACACGGCCCAGACUCCUACGGGAGGCAGCAGUGGGGAAUUUUGGACAAUGGGCGCAAGCCUGAUCCAGCCAUGCCGCGUGAGUGAAGAAGGCCUCGGUUGUAAG